UCUCAGGUGAUCUGCCCACCUCGGCCUCCCAAAGUGCUGGGAUUACAGUAGUGAGCCACCGCACCUGGCACCACAGUUUCUACAGAGAAGUAAAACCCUACCUUCAGCAAGUACCUGAAUUUGGCUCCAAGUUGCAAAACUACCUCCUGUCAUGAAGAUGUGGGAAGUUUAUCUUUCAUAGAAUAUAAUCAACUGACCUCCCCAAUUCCCAGAAUCAGUCUCAGUGUUUCCUGUUUGGAUUGCCAUGAGGACAUCAACCCAGAGUGACUGUAGACCCUCUUCCCAGCACCUGAGAGUCUUUGAGACAUUUGAGGUUGUUGUGUGCAGACUGGGAUGGGAGUUGUUCCAGUUUUCACUUGGGUGAAAAAAAAGGAGAGCUGGAGACUGAUCAACCAAUUACUUUCAUUUCAUAUGGCGAUUAGAAAAACAGAUGAGGCAAUCAUAAUCUCUGCAAUCCAGGAACUGUGUCUGUGGCAAAUGAAUAAAUGGCUGAAUUUCA
rnacentral:lncRNA from 1 species